rnacentral:lncRNA from 1 species
UUGCGUCCUCCACCCCCAUCUCUAUUAUACCCUUUUUAAUCGAGAUCCGUUUACGGAUAUUGAUACACGUUUACGAAGAUCUUUUGAUGCUUUCCCAAUUUUUUUUUCUUUUUUUUUUCACAUGGAGAGUCCAAAUAUCCAUCCAUCUUUCUUUCUUAUUUUCCACAUAUCAGCUUUAUGUUUUAAAGGACACUUAAUAUCAAAUAUCAGUACCAUGCUACCUAUCCAACCCAAAUUAACCUUGUACCAAUCCCAAACUAACCUUAAAAACGGAAUAACCAUUCCCGUGCCUACCUUCUACUACUUUUAAAUGUUUCCUUUUCAUGUCUUCAUCUUCCUUGCAUAACCAAUUAAUGUCCACGGCAUAGAUGUGGAGGAGAGAAAGUAAGAGUUGAGGAUGGAAAUAAACAAAUCUGGAAGUGAGAGUCGUUGUUGUGGAAAAAACGAAUCUGGAAAAGUGAGAGUUGGGAGAGAGAAAGGGGGUGGAGUGCGAAAAACGGAUCUCGAAAAGUGAGAGUUGUAAGAGAGAGGGGGUGGAGCAGUGUAAGAGAGUGAAAAUGAAGUAUAAUUAAAUAAAUAUGAUUAAAGUUAAAAAGGAUAUUUUUGUAAUUAAAAAUUUUGAAAAAAAGUUUGGAGAGGUGCAGGACGAUUUGGUGGGGGUGGAGGGAAUAACACCC